CGGAUCGUAGCUCAGUAGGUAGAGCGUUGUGUGCGCACGCAAUAAACCAAGCAGUUUGUGUCGCGGGUUCGAGUCCCGCCGGUCCGA
rnacentral:tRNA from 1 species